rnacentral:rRNA from 1 species
CACUGAACAUUGAGCCUUGAUGUGUAGGAUAGGUGGGAGGCUUUGAAGUGUGGACGCCAGUCUGCAUGGAGCCGACCUUGAAAUACCACCCUUUAAUGUUUGAUGUUCUAACGUGGACCCGUAAUCCGGGUUGCGGACAGUGUCUGGUGGGUAGUUUGACUGGGGCGGUCUCCUCCUAAAGAGUAACGGAGGAGCACGAAGGUUGGCUAAUCCUGGUCGGACAUCAGGAGGUUAGUGCAAUGGCAUAAGCCAGCUUGACUGCGAGCGUGACGGCGCGAGCAGGUGCGAAAGCAGGUCAUAGUGAUCCGGUGGUUCUGAAUGGAAGGGCCAUCGCUCAACGGAUAAAAGGUACUCCGGGGAUAACAGGCUGAUACCGCCCAAGAGUUCAUAUCGACGGCGGUGUUUGGCACCUCGAUGUCGGCUCAUCACAUCCUGGGGCUGAAGUAGGUCCCAAGGGUAUGGCUGUUCGCCAUUUAAAGUGGUACGCGAGCUGGGUUUAGAACGUCGUGAGACAGUUCGGUCCCUA